rnacentral:rRNA from 1 species
AUUGAACGCUGGCGGCAGGCCUAACACAUGCAAGUCGAGCGAGCGGCGGACGGGUGCGUAAUGUCUGGGAACCUGCCUGUUGGAGGGGGAUAACUACUGGAAACGGUAGCUAAUACCGCAUACCAUCAGAUGUGGCCAGAUGGGAUUAGCUGGGGGGUGGGGUAACGGCUCACCUAGGCGACGAUCCCGAGCUGGUGGGAGAGGAUGACCAGCCACACUGGAACUGAGACACGGUCCAGACUCCUACGGGAGGCAGCAGUGGGGAAUAUUGCGCAAUGGGCGCAAGCCUGAUGCAGCCAUGCCGCGUGUGUGAAGAAGGCCUUCGGGUUGUAAAGCACUGUCAGCGGGGAGGCGUUACCCGCAGAAGAAGCACCGGCUAACUCCGUGCCAGCAGCCGCGGUAAUUC